rnacentral:rRNA from 1 species
CGAGACCUCAGGUCAGGCGGGGCUACCCGCUGAAUUUAAGCAUAUCAAUAAGCGGAGGAAAAGAAACUAACAAGGAUUCCCCUAGUAACGG